rnacentral:rRNA from 1 species
GACGAACGCUGGCGGCGUGCUUAACACAUGCAAGUCGAACGGAAAGGCCCUGCUUUUGUGGGGUGCUCGAGUGGCGAACGGGUGAGUAACACGUGAGUAACCUGCCCUUGACUUUGGGAUAACUUCAGGAAACUGGGGCUAAUACCGGCUAGGAGCUCCUGCUGCAUGGUGGGGGUUGGAAAGUUUCGGCGGUUGGGGAUGGACUCGCGGCUUAUCAGCUUGUUGGUGGGGUAGUGGCUUACCAAGGCUUUGACGGGUAGCCGGCCUGAGAGGGUGACCGGCCACAUUGGGACUGAGAGACGGCCCAGACGCCAACGGGAGGCAGCAGUGGGGAAUAUUGCACAAUGGGCGGAAGCCUGAUGCAGCAACGCCGCGUGCGGGAUGACGGCCUUCGGGGUGUAAACCGCUUUCGCCUGUGACGAAGCGUGAGUGACGGUAAUGGGUAAAGAAGCACCGGCUAACUACGUG